rnacentral:lncRNA from 1 species
CAAUAGGAAUUGGUAUUUUUUUUCAUGAAUUAAACUUCCGUAAUGACUUUUUUUUCUUUCAUUUCAUACUUACUGGAUUUAAAAAUAGAUUGAAAGGUCUUAUUGCAGUAGUACGCUUGCUAAUCGCAACUUAUGUCAGAGAAACCAGCAAGUGAAGAGGUGGAGGAGGAAGAAAAGGUGUGCAAUAAGCGAACAACUCUUAGCGUGAGCCACUGCUCGGUUGGUGAACGAGCUAAGCGUUGGAGUGCCGCGCGUGCACGACUCUCGGGGGCUUGCGCCAACAUACUCAACGAUAUCCUGGACACACGCGCGUGUCAUGGAGUGAGAUAGUACUUGACCAGUGAGGGAAGCGGGAAAAAGAGAUGCAAAACACGCACACUCGCAACGGCUUUCAUUUAUUCGUAAAUCAACAGCAAGAUGCUAUUUAUAGACAGCGGACAAAUAGCGAUAGUCGACGCUUCUGUAUCCUUGAAUGGUAAAACGCCCGAAUAGAAUAAUGUGACGGUUAUUGGAAUAUGUCGAAUUAUAGUUACGAAAAUGAGAUCAAUGUUAUGUUUUCAUUUGUGGAUAUAAGAUAAAAAUUGAAAAUGACUUGAUAAACUGGAAGUGUUUAUGUAAAGAUGGGAAGUUUGAUAAAUUUUUGGAACUAAUUAGAAUUAUUAUCUCUAAUUGUACAAUUGAUUAGAAUGAUAAAGUAAAAUAUUUUUUGGAAAAAUAACAUUUUAUAAAAUAAAUAUACAGUGAAUUCUUCUGAGAAAACAUUUAAGUUUUCUGAUUAUAACUAAUCAGUAUGAUGAAAAAGUGUUUUUAAUGUUAAAGAAAAUAGAGAAGUGAUAAGUGUGUUUCUUAAACAGUCAAAAUAUUAAACUCUAGCACAUAAGAAUCCAGUUUUUUUUAUAUUUUUCGUGUCAUGAGUGGAGAUAAUAGUUUAUCUGAAAUGUUUGAAAAAAUUGAUAAGAGUACGUUGACGAUUGUGUGUAUAGUCACAUUAUAGUUGGAAUCAUUAUGUUAGAAUUAAGAUUAGAGAAUUGAAACUCAAGUGCUGUAGGUUCAAAGUCUUUUGAUUUCUCGUGGAUAUAUAUGUAUAUAUAUAUAUAUAUAUAUAUAUGUACUAUACUCCUUAAGAGAAAGAUCUUGAAUGUUGUUCUUGAGGAAUCGUUACAGAUCGAGAAUGCAGCAAGGCAUGCCGAUGCGAACUUUCACGUAGGUGGGACAGAUGCCAGGUGUUCAGAAGGCGUCGUGCUUCGCCAACUAAAAGAGAGAUACAUAUCCAUGAUUAUUGCUCCUACUUGUUCUCUCACCAAGUGCUCUCCAAUCGCAUUACUUUCAACAUUAUUGUCAAACUAUCAUCAUCCGUGUACGCUAUAAGUUUUAUUGACUGAUUCCAUCAAUCUUUAACUCAAAACAAAUCAUCUUCAAUUUUAUUUGAGUAAGAGAAAACUUCUUUUUUGCUCUUUUAUUUCGUAGAAUAUUUAAUCGGUUAUAUUCUCAGUAAAUGAUUUAAUUAAAUUUUAUGACUAUAUUUUUCGUCAUUUAAUGUUUUUGGUAUUAUCAAUUUGUUAUCAGUUCAGAGAAAAUGAAUUGUAAAAAAAGUUUUACUACUUUUGUAUUACAAAGUGUUAAAACCAGAGAUAAAUUAACAUUUGGAAUGAAAAAAGUGCUUUAGAUUAUUGUAAAUUCGCAUGAGGUGGUCCAAAAGCAAGAGAUUCCCAGAGAUAAUGAGCUCAGGAUAUAGCGUGACGUUGAACCGUGGGAGUCACUAUGAAAAUGACGUGUUUCAGGUUGUAAAAAAAAAUCUCUCUUUCUGAGGUAUUUCCUUAAUUAGUAAUUUUACAAUCAUUCCAAUUAUUAUUGUCGUCAACGAUAAUAAUCAAGGCACAAAUUCGCGAGAAAAGAUCUGUCCUGUUGAUCUAUCUUUAAAUAAAAAUGUCAAGUGUAUAUGAACCAAAAAAAAUUAAAGAAAUUCGUUUCUAUUAAUUUACAAAAAAUCAAAAAUUGCUUAUCAAUUAAAGUAAUUCGUUUCACAGGCAAUAUUAGAUUUUUUUUAUAUAUAAAUUAUAAUUAUUAUAUAUAAAUUAUAAUUAUUCAUUCUUUUAUGCAAUUUAAUUUUAGUCUAAUCUUUCCAAUAAAAUUGUAACACAUUUUUUUGACUAAAUGUUCAUUGUAAUCGCGAAACCUAGACUACGAAUAAUGUUGUCAGUCGUCUGAUUGUAAUAUAUAAGUAUGUACUUAACAUAAGAAUAUGGUAUUAAUAGUACAUAAUUUUUGCGUCUGUCUACUUGUCUAUAGUUAAUCUAUAAGUGUAUUGAGAUAACAAUUUUAAUGAAACUUUGUGAUACUUCAAGUGUUUAACAAGCAAUAUAUAACUAUAAAUGACAAUGGUGAUGAUUUGAGUCUUUGCCUUCCACUUGACGAGUUAAGCCUUUGGUCGACGAGCAAUAGCCGCAGCUAAAAAUAACCGCGAUAAACAUGAGCAGUUGUAGUGUGUCAUGCUAUUCAUUUGAGAGCUAUGACUAUAUUAUUUCUUUUAUUUUUCUCUUUUAUUAACACAUUUUUUUCAUUUUUUGGAUAUUCUUUCUUACUGCCUAUCAGGUCAAAGUCUUUAAUAUUUUUUUGCAUUUUUUAUUUUAAUGUUUAAGAAAAAGAGUUUUGAAUAAAUUUUAUUAUCAUUUCAGAUGAUACUAGCUUUUAAAAGAACAAGAAAGUAUCACAAAGAAAAGGAGUUUUCUGCUGAUAAUUAUCAUUGUAAUAGUGCGAAAUAAAUAGGAAGAACAAUCAA